GGAAUCUUCCACAAUGGGCGCAAGCCUGAUGGAGCAACACCGCGUGAGUGAAGAAGGGUUUCGGCUCGUAAAGCUCUGUUGUUGGAGAAGAACGUGCGUGAGAGUAACUGUUCACGCAGUGACGGUAUCCAACCAGAAAGUCACGGCUAACUACGUGCCAC
rnacentral:rRNA from 1 species